GCUCCCAUGGCAUAGUGGUUUGAGCGUUGGACUAGGACUCCGGAGACCAGGGUUCGAUUCUCAGCCCAGCCA